GACGAACGCUGGCGGCGUGCUUAACACAUGCAAGUCGAACGGACAGGCCCUGCUUUUGUGGGGUGCUCGAGUGGCGAACGGGUGUGUAACACGUGAGUAACCUGCCCUUGACUUUGGGAUAACUUCAGGAAACUGGGGCUAAUACCGGGUAGGAGCUCCUGCUGCAUGGUGGGGGUUGGAGAGUUUCGGCGGUUGGGGAUGGACUUGCGGCUUAUGUGCUUGUGGGUGGGGUCGUGGCUUACUAGGGCUUUGAGGGGUAGCCGGCCUGAGAGGGUGACCGGGCACAUGGGGACUGAGAUACGGCCCAGAGUCGUACGGGGGGCAGCAGUGGGGAAGAUUGCACAAUGGGGGGAAGCCGGAUGAAGCAACGCCGCGUGCGGGAUGACGGCCUUUGGGUUGGAAGCCGCUGGCGCUUGUGACGAAGCGUGAGUGACGGUAAUGGGUAAAGAAGCACCGGCUAACUACGUG
rnacentral:rRNA from 1 species